GGCGAACGCUGGCGGCGUGCUUAACACAUGCAAGUCGAACGGAAAGGCCCUGCUUUUGUGGGGUGCUCGAGUGGCGAACGGGUGAGUAACACGUGAGUAACCUGCCCUUGACUUUGGGAUAACUUCAGGAAACUGGGGCUAAUACCGGAUAGGAGCUCCUGCUGCAUGGUGGGGGUUGGAAAGUUUCGGCGGUUGGGGAUGGACUCGCGGCUUAUCAGCUUGUUGGUGGGGUAGUGGCUUACCAAGGCUUUGACGGGUAGCCGGCCUGAGAGGGUGACCGGCCAAAUUGGGACUGGGAUACGGCCCAGACUCCUACGGGAGGCAGCAGUGGGGAAUGUUGCACAAUGGGCGGAAGCCUGAUGCAGCAACGCCGCGUGCGGGAUGACGGCCUUCGGGUUGUAAACCGCUUUCGCCUGUUACGAAGCGUGAGUGACGGUAAUGGGUAAAGAAGCACCGGCUAACUACGUG
rnacentral:rRNA from 1 species